UGACCACCUUAGCAAGAACUUACCUCUCCUUUGCAGUGGAAAAGAGGGAAUCCUGCCUAAAACCUACUUCACGGUGUUACAGAGAAGAUACAGAAAAUGAAAAUGAAAAUAAAAUUUGGUACUACAGCACAAAGGUCCAGCUUGCAGAAUUAAUUGACUGUCUAGACAAAGAUUAUUGGGAAGCAGAACUCUGCAAAAUUCUGGA
rnacentral:lncRNA from 1 species